rnacentral:sRNA from 1 species
UAUUUUAGCUACAUUUCGGAUAGUUUACUAUCGGUCCUCAGGCUAACAAAUUGUUCUUACAUUUGACGUGUACAACUUUUUGUACAUGUCAAAUGUAAGAACAAUUUGUUAGCCUGAGGACGGAUAGUAAACUAUCCGAAAUGUAGCUAAAAU